rnacentral:rRNA from 1 species
AGCGUAGACGGUGUGGCAAGUCUGAUGUGAAAGGCAUGGGCUCAACCUGUGGACUGCAUUGGAAACUGUUAGUCUUGAGUGCCGGAGAGGUAAGCGGAAUUCCUAGUGUAGCGGUGAAAUGCGUAGAUAUUAGGAGGAACACCAGUGGCGAAGGCGGCUUACUGGACGGUAACUGACGUUGAGGCUCGAAAGCGUGGGGAGCAAACA